rnacentral:rRNA from 1 species
CCCGUAGGGGGCGAGCGUUGUCCGGAUUUAUUGGGCGUAAAGAGCUCGUAGGCGGCUCGGUAAGUCAGGUGUGAAACCUCCAGGCUCAACCUGGAGACGCCACCUGAUACUGCCGUGGCUAGAGUCCGGUAGAGGAGCGUAGAAUUCCUGGUGUAGCGGUGAAAUGCGCAGAUAUCAGGAGGAACACCGGUGGCGAAGGCGGGUCUCUGGGCCGAUACUGACGCUGAGGAGCGAAAGCGUGGGGAGCAAACAGG